GAAGAGUCCCAAAUAGGACGAAACGCACGUC
rnacentral:hammerhead_ribozyme from 1 species